AAACUACACUAUAACUAAAUCAUAAUUUUAAACACUAGGCACCCUAGACCAUGUUUAUGGCUGCAGAAUUAAUCCCUGGAAUCAAUGUUGUCAGUAAACCUCUUUUAACAAGCAAAAACUGCAGAUAACUUUUAUGAGUGUACUUUUUAACUAGGUCAUGUUCACCAUUAGUUGACUCAGGGAAAGCAUUUUUUAAGAAAAGAAGCAUCCAGAGAAAAGCUUCUAAUUCAUCCUUUGGCUGAUAUUAAGAGAAAAUUUACAUCGAGAACUCUGAGGUACCCUGGCUGGAAUCAUUUUACAGGUGGACCUUGUUGUGCCCAAGUCGCGAAGUCCCCAAAGACCACCAAGGAGUCAUGUCUGAUGCAAUUGCAAGAGGAGUUUACUGCAAGCUCGAGCCUGGACUCUCAGGUGUCACCAUCACAGCGGCUUCAGUCUGAGAGCCCACAUCCAACUUUGAACCAAGUUUAUAUAGGAUUUUUCUGUUACUAUUUUUAGUUUUCCCUUGUCAUCAAGGGGCAUCGGGAGGGC
rnacentral:lncRNA from 1 species